CCUACGGGGUGCAGCAGUAGGGAAUUUUCGUCAAUGGGCGCAAGCCUGAACGAGCAAUGCCGCGUGAACGAGGAAGGUCUUCGGAUCGUAAAGUUCUGUUGAAGGGGAAAAAGAGCGGAGAGAGGAAAUGGUCUCCGAUUGAUAUUACCCUUCGAGGCAGUCACGGCUAACUACGUGCCAGCAGCCGCGGUAAUACGUAGGUGGCGAGCGUUAUCCGGAAUGAUUGGGCGUAAAGGGUGCGUAGGCGGCCUGCUAAGUCUGGAGUGAAAGGUACCGGCUCAACCGGUACAGGCUCUGGAAACUGGCGGGCUAGAGAGCAGGAGAGGGCGGUGGAACUCCAUGUGUAGCGGUAAAAUGCGUAGAUAUAUGGAAGAACACCAGUGGCGAAGGCGGCCGCCUGGCCUGUGACUGACGCUGAGGCACGAAAGCGUGGGGAGCAAAUAGGAUUAGAUACCCCAGUAGUC
rnacentral:rRNA from 1 species